rnacentral:tRNA from 1 species
GCCCGCUUAGCUCAGUUGGUAGAGCGGCUCACUCGUAAUGAGCAGGUCGCCAGUUCGAAUCUGGCAGUGGGCUCCU